rnacentral:rRNA from 1 species
UACGUAGGUGGCAAGCGUUGUUCGGAAUUAUUGGGCGUAAAGGGCGCGUAGGCGGUUUGUUAAGUCGGUCGUGAAAGCCCGGGGCUCAACCCCGGAGGGUCGACCGAUACUGGCAGACUAGAGUACAGAAGAGGUAACUGGAAUUCCCGGUGUAGCGGUGAAAUGCGUAGAUAUCAGGAGGAACACCAAUGGCGAAGGCAGCUCGCUGGGACGGUACUGACGCUGAGGCGCGAAAGCGUGGGGAGCAAACAGG